GACGUAGGGGGCGAGCGUUGUCCGGAAUUAUUGGGCGUAAAGAGCUCGUAGGCGGUUCGUCGCGUCGGCUGUGAAAUCCCGAGGCUCAACCUCGGGUCUGCAGUCGAUACGGGCGGACUGGAGUUCGGCAGGGGAGACUGGAAUUCCUGGUGUAGCGGUGAAAUGCGCAGAUAUCAGGAGGAACACCGGUGGCGAAGGCGGGUCUCUGGGCCGAUACUGACGCUGAGGAGCGAAAGCGUGGGGAGCGAACAGG
rnacentral:rRNA from 1 species